rnacentral:rRNA from 1 species
UGCUUUACACAUGCAAGUCGGACGGCAGCAUUACCUUCGGGUAGAUGGCGAGUGGCGGACGGGUGAGUAAUACAUCGGAACAAGCCUAUUAGUUGGGGAUAACCAAUCGAAAGAUUGGCUAAUACCGGAUGAGCUCUGAGGAGGAAAGCUGGGGACUAGAAAUGGCCUGGCGCUGAUAGAUUGGCCGAUGGUUGAUUAGUUAGUUGGUGGGGUAAAGGCCUACCAAGGCGAUGAUCAAUAGCUGUUCUGAGAGGAAGAUCAGCCACACUGGGACUGAGACACGGCCCAGACUCCUACGGGAGGCAGCAGUGGGGAAUUUUGGACAAUGGGGGCAACCCUGAUCCAGCAACGCCGCGUGGAUGAAGAAGGCCUUAGGGUUGUAAAGGUC